rnacentral:rRNA from 1 species
CCUACGGGUGGCAGCAGUGGGGAAUAUUGGACAAUGGGCGAAAGCCUGAUCCAGCCAUGCCGCGUGUGUGAAGAAGGCCUUCGGGUUGUAAAGCGCUUUCAGUGGGGAAGAAAGCCUUGGGGCUAAUACCCUCGAGGAAGGACAUCACCCACAGAAGAAGCACCGGCUAACUCCGUGCCAGCAGCCGCGGUAAUACGGAGGGUGCGAGCGUUAAUCGGAAUUACUGGGCGUAAAGCGCGCGUAGGCGGUCUGAUAAGCCGGUUGUGAAAGCCCCGGGCUCAACCUGGGAACGGCAUCCGGAACUGUCAGGCUAGAGUGCAGGAGAGGAAGGUAGAAUUCCCGGUGUAGCGGUGAAAUGCGUAGAGAUCGGGAGGAAUACCAGUGGCGAAGGCGGCCUUCUGGACUGACACUGACGCUGAGGUGCGAAAGCGUGGGUAGCAAACAGGAUUAGAUACCCGAGUAGUC